rnacentral:lncRNA from 1 species
GUGAGAAGUAUAAUUCUCCCAUAAGACCAGACCCAAUGGGGAAGUUUAAGUAUCUGUUAGGAUCACAAUUCCGAUGGGAUCACCUUGAAUGAAUCAUUGAUCGUCACUCCAUGCUCUAGCGGAUUCACAAGUG